CCUACGGGGGGCUGCAGUGGGGAAUAUUGGGCAAUGGGCGCAAGCCUGACCCAGCCAUGCCGCGUGAGUGAUGAAGGCCUUCGGGUCGUAAAGCUCUGUGGGGAGGGACGAACAGCCAGGCGGCUAAUACCCGCAGGGUCUGACGGUACCUCCUUAGCAAGCACCGGCUAACUCCGUGCCAGCAGCCGCGGUAAUACGGAGGGUGCAAACGUUGCUCGGAAUUAUUGGGCGUAAAGCGCACGUAGGCGGUCUCGUAAGUCGGGUGUGAAAGCCCG
rnacentral:rRNA from 1 species